UACAAAACAAAAACAACAUUCGACCGCAGCGGAACAACUGAAAAGCGAGCGCACGAAAACGAAAUCGAGGAAACCGCCGCGUGUGAUCAAAAAUCGAAGUUAAACAAAGUCGGAGGGAAGCUGCGAGGUAAUUGAACCGCCCCGCCCUCGAGCCACGCCCCGCAGCCGUGUGAUAACAAAGAUAUUGCAAUAAAGGCAAUUAAAGCUGCGAGAGAGCCAAGAAACGUGACCCAGGCAAAUUUGUUUGUUUGUCUGCUUCUGCUUGCAUAUACAUAUUAACGAAAUAUAAACGUGCGUGAGAUUGUGUGUGUGUGUGAGCAGCCGUCGCGGUAGUAGUAGUAACACAGCAAACAACAACAAAUUCGUCUCGCGUUAUUUACAAUAAUUUAAACAAAAAAUUACAAAAUUGUAUUUCAUCUCUCUUUCUCUCUCACACACACGCACGAAUAUUACCCCCGGCGCGUUUUUCGUCUGUCUCUCUCUGACAAAGGCGGAAGAGUUAAAAAAUAGUAAUUAAAUAAAAAAAAAGGAAAAACUGCCACCGUCGCGUCGCUGCUCAAUAAUUUGUGCAUCUUUUAAGUUCUUCACAAUGUCCUCAAAUCUCAUUUAAAUAAGUAAAAAGUGUAAUAAGCGACGUGAACAGCACGCAGCGAAAAGAAUAGCGCUGAAUAGAAGGCACGCCAAACAGCAACAAAUGGCCAACAAUUGAAUGGCGGCCAUCAGUGGCCCCCAGCGGCGUCCAUUGAGCAAUCAACACCAUUUCUCCCACAUCAAAUCAAGCACCACCACCACCGCUGCCGCCACCUCAGCCGCCACCACUACCAACACCACCACCACCACCACUGUCCCCACUUUGGGAACCAGAACAACAGUCCAAAGCCCAGUCCAAGCCACCACCAGCACCACAACAACAACAACAACAACAACAACACUGAAGAGCUCCAUCGGCAACAAAUACCAGAACCAGAACCAAAACCGGGUGCAGCUGCUCGAAUUAUUUGGCAAACUCGCCGCGUAGUCCAUCAAUGAGCGUUUCGAUGUCACUGGUACAGGGUGGUGCUGCCGGUGGUGCGCCACAGGGCGCCAGCGCAAUCUUGGCCGCAGCGGCUCCCUACUAUCAGCCGCCGGCCGUUCCCCAGGAUGUCCAGCCGGAUCGUCCCAUCGGCUAUGGAGCAUUCGGAGUUGUCUGGGCUGUCACAGAUCCUCGGGAUGGACGUCGCGUGGCCUUGAAGAAGCUGCCAAAUGUGUUCCAAUCGUUGGUCUCAUCGAAACGCGUUUUUCGCGAGCUGAAAAUGCUCUGCUUCUUCAAGCACGAGAAUGUUCUCUCGGCCCUGGACAUUCUACAGCCACCGCAUUUGGAUUUCUUUCAAGAAAUCUAUGUGAUAACGGAGCUGCUGCAAUCGGAUCUGCACAAGAUAAUCGUAUCGCCGCAGCACCUCUCCGCCGACCACAUCAAGGUGUUCCUGUACCAGAUCCUGCGCGGCCUCAAGUAUCUGCACUCGGCCCGCAUCCUGCAUCGCGACAUCAAGCCGGGCAAUCUGCUGGUCAACUCGAAUUGCGUGCUCAAGAUCUGUGAUUUUGGAUUGGCCCGCGUUGAGGAGCCGGACCAGGCCAAGCACAUGACCCAGGAGGUGGUCACCCAGUACUACCGCGCCCCAGAGAUUCUCAUGGGCGCUCGUCACUACUCGUCGGCGGUGGACGUGUGGUCGGUGGGCUGCAUUUUCGGCGAGCUCUUGGGCCGUCGCAUCCUGUUCCAGGCGCAGAACCCAGUGCAGCAGCUGGAGCUGAUCACCGAGCUGCUGGGCACGCCCACCAUGGAGGAUAUGCGGCACGCCUGCGAAGGUGCCCGCACCCACAUGCUGCGCCGGGCGCCCAAGCCGCCCUCCUUCUCGGUGCUCUACACACUCAGCUCGCACGCCACGCACGAGGCUGUGCACCUGCUCUGCCAGAUGCUGGUUUUCGAUCCGGACAAGCGCAUUUCUGUGACAGAUGCCCUGGCGCAUCCAUAUCUGGAUGAGGGACGUCUGCGGUACCACUCGUGCAUGUGCAAAUGCUGCUUCACUACCUCGGCCGGAAUGCGCCAGUACACGGCCGACUUUGAGCCCUCCGCCGGCCAGCCCUUUGAUGAUCUAUGGGAGCGCAAGCUCACCUCCGUGCAGCAGGUCAAGGAGGAGAUGCACAAGUUCAUAGCCGAGCAACUGCAAACGGGUCGUGUGCCGCUUUGCAUUAAUCCACAGAGUGCGGCCUUCAAGAGUUUCGCCAGCCAAUGAGAAUGAGAAAAUCUACUACUACUACCACUACCACUACUACCACUACAACUUGCACUGCUGCUCCUGCCGCUGCUCCAAUCCGCCGCCGCCUACUGUUGCCUACUGCCUUCGAAAACCGAUACAGAUCCAGAUCGAGAUCGUUAUCCAGAUCAAGAUACUAGGGGCGCGCGAUCUACUAUCACUAGAACGAAUCGAUAUAGAAACGCAGAAGUCACAAGAUUCUAUCUACUAUCCGUUAUCUGCCGAAUGAUUCAAGAAUGAUAAUGAAUGAAAAUGCAAUGAAAAUGAAAAUAAAAAUGAAAGAAAUGCCAAGAUAAAGAAACAAUUAUACAGAUACAGAAUAUGAGGCCUCGGGGCGGCAACUGUCUCUCUACUCCUUCUUAGUUCAACCGUGGCACAUCCUUCAGAGCUGCCGCCGUCGCCUCAUCAAUGGGAAUGACGGCAAAAUGAGGCGAUUGCUGCCUAAAAUCGAAACAAAAGCAACACAGCCAAACGAUAGAACCUCGCCGCCGAAAAGAAGGAGGAGAGGAAUCGAUUCCCAGUCCAAAAAAAAACCCUCGAAAACCCUCGAAAACCCGCGAAAACCCAACCCAACUCAACUCAACCCAGAGAUAACUCAGCCAGGAACAACGAUUGAAUAAUUUUUAAGCGCCAAGCGGCUUUUAAGUGGGCCUUUGUCUGUUUGAAAGUUAAAGCAUUCCACCACCGAAAUUAACUAAAAGAAAACAAACAAAUAUUUAAUAAUACUAUAGACAAACAAAUAUGUAACGUAACUCAACUGAAACUAGUCUAAACUAAACAACAAAACUGUAGUUAAAGCAGCAGCAGCGACACAAAACCAUGCAAGUUUUAAGUGAAGGAAAAAUAUUACAAAAAUGUGUAACAAAAAGAGAGAGGAGAGGGAGCGAGCAGCAGUAGAUUCUACGCACUACAAGCAAAGCGUAGAUAAUAAUAUUAGUUUUUUGGCAACAAAGCUAAAAUUUUGUUGUGCUUGACAAGAAUUGGAAGAAUUGAUCGAAAAUUCAAAUUUAAUGGUAAAGAAAUACAACACAAAAUCGUUUUAUGUUAAGCUCCUAAGAAAUCUAUGUAUAUGUAAAUUAAUUAGCAACACAGACAGACAUCGUAUUCAUUAUAAACAAAUAUGCUUAACUAUUAAAUAUAUCGAUAAAUAUAUUUAAAAUAAAAUAGUAACAAAAUGCACACAAAUCCGAAAUUUGUUUGCCAAAAUUUACCUCAAGCGAUUAAACAACCUUUUCAUCCGUUAAAAGGAUAAAUUCAUUUUCUGUUAGCUUACGACAAACAUAACGAUGUGUAGCUACAGCUAAAUGUUUACUAAACGCAAAGAAAACAAAUUCAUUUGAAAUUAUGCAACUAUUUUCAUUUUCACAAACGUUUGAAGCUUCAAUUUUGAAACUGGUUUCUAGAUAUAUACUCUAAAUGUAUCUGACCACAAAAGGCGGUCAACAACACUAACUCAAUAUUAGAAAAACAAAAAUAUUUGAUGAAAUUAGUUCAAAGUUUCAACUGUCGACUGACUGAACAAAAAUUACAAUAUAAAUUAAUAUAAAUAUAAAUUAAACAAUUUCAACUUAAUUUAGUUAUGACAAUUUUCGCUUUGAUAAUAGUUUGUUAAGCUUUUUAAUCAUAUUUUUCAUAAAUGUAAACUAACAAAUAAACAAACCAUCAAAGGAAAAACCAACCAACAAGUGGACGACGCACUGCCCCCAGUGAAUGGUUUUGGCGGAUAAAGCUUAAUGGGUCGGAAAUGGGGAGUAUUAUUACCCCUUGGAGUCCCAAGGCGCCGCCCGAAUCAAUUCAAUUUUAGUUGAUAUGUAUACUUUGCUUUUAGUUGAUUACCAUGUAAUAUAGUUUAAUUUUCGACUAACUACACCUCUGUCUCUCUCAAUGCUCAUUGCUUUAGGCUAUAGCAAAGGUGCAGGACAGGAUCGGUUAUAGAGGAUCAAUUGCUAAGGCCUCGGCUGCCCAGAACAUUAUAUAUGUUAAGACUGAGUUUUCUCAUUUGACGACGACGAUUGAUUAAUUGAGGAUAUGCAAUACGAAAUUCACACUUGAUUUUUUGGAAGAGUCAAAAUUAUGAUCUAGCUUAAGCACUUAAACAAAAUUAAAAAUGUAUACCGUAAAUAUGUAUUUUGAAUGUCUUUUGUCUUUAAUGUUUAGAGCAAAAACAAUGCAAAAAUAUCUAAUCGAAAACAAAAAAAAAACGAUAACGAUGUAGAAGAAGCUGUCGAAGAAAUUGAAACUGAAGCUAAACUAAACUUUUCCUCAAUUCUCUUAACUGUGCUGCUUUCUUAUGUAUGUAGUUUUUAAUUAUAUAAUUAUAUAUAUUAACCGAUAUAUAUAUAUAUAUAUAUAUACACAUACAUGUAUGGAUUAGCGUAAAACAAACGAAAACAAAACAAAACAAACAUGAAUUCAAAACUUUCACGGAGAUCUCAUAGCAAAAACAAAACGAAAUGAAAGAAAAGAAAAGCAAAGGAAAUCAGUGUGCAAAAAAGUAGAAUUUCUUUUCAACUUUUGUUUAUAACUAAAGUUUUUCUUAACCGUUAAUAUAUAGAGUACAGAUUAGAGAUUACAGAUUGUUUAUCCCUCAUUUGACACCGGACAGACCCAGAGACACACUCUCGAAUGCAAGUUAAAUUGACAUCUACAUCAGCAUCAUUUACAUCUCUAAGCACUUACUCCCCAUAAUUAUAGCUACUCAUAUGGAUAGUUAGUUUUCGUUCGGCUUAGGCACCGUGUACAUAACAUUAUCUCCACACCCCCACCAAUAAUUAGCCCACAUCUCUCUCUAGCUCAGUAAGACGGUUAGCUAUGAGGUAAUACGAGUACGAUAUAAGUUACGGACAUGUACAUUAUACUACACACAUAGCACAACCCUCGAUUGGAGCAGGUCUGAACUAAAACAUAAAGAAAUUCACACUCGAUAUAUGCCGUUUGAAAUGAGUUCAUAAGUUAAGAUAAACUGUAACUGUAAACUGCAUUAGUAUUUGACUUGUAAACCAAUUUAUGGAUCAUUCUUAACUAUAUAUAUUAGAUACGUAUUACGCAUUAAUUUACGUUAACUGAGAAUAAAACAAAAACUUGUGUAAACUGUUUGUAUAAAAAAAAAAUAAGAACAAAACAAAAAAAAGAAAAAGAAAAAACGAAUACAUUUUGUUUCAUUUGUCGCAUUACUUGAAGUGGAUCCAACCCAACCCAAUGCAUUUGCUAAUUAGAAUUUAUAGCUAUGUAACACAGUGAAAACCCGACAACUAGCACCUACUAUAUACGAUAUGUGUAUGUAUUGUAUGGACAAUAUUUGAGAUUAAAAAACACACUACACAAUUAUUAAAGUUUGUAUUAGAGUACAGGUCAGCAUUCCGUUAAAACGGAAAACCUAAGGAUGCCACGUAUAUUUACCCUUUUUGAAUAUUAACCAAAUAUAUAUGGGAAUAACAUCCUAUAAAAUUGGUGGGAGUCUAAGAGAAAUCUUUUGAAAUAAGAAUUGGUCAAGAUUGGUAGAUCUGACCAUAAAAAUGAUUGCGCUCAGGUUAUAAAUUGUAAAAACUAAAACACUCUAAUAAUAUAUAUGAGAUAAUCUCUAAUUCGCAUAACAUAAAGAUAACCCUAUAAAUGUACGUUUAACAAGUUUAACAAAAGGCUGUUUGUAGAAAUUGUGACACAGUUUUUUUAACCCGAACCCACUACUAACCGUUGAUUAACCAACUCGAUAUGUAAAUGCAAAAAGAAGAGUCGUAUAUCUUCGACUUCACAGUAAAUGUAGCUGCUUACACUUACCAGAAAAAAUAACUGGCUGCUUUGUGCACUCCAAAAAAGUGUUGUAAAUAUUAAAAGAAAUUAAAAUAUAGUAAUCGUCGUACUUAAAUUUAGAGAAAACUUUGUGAUUGCUUUUCAUUGAUGAUAAUGACAUAAAUGUUUCGUAGGGGAACCUAAAGGCAGAUAUUUUUUCUUAAAAACAGCAUGUAAAAACACUCUAUACGCUAACCGAAUAAAAAGGCAAACGCUAAAUGUAGGACACACCAAAAUGUAGUUAACAAACACGAUAUAAAGGUAUAUAUAUAUAUAUGACACCUAUAACCACUGAAAAUCGAUGGCGAUCCUUAACCAAAAAUAUGAUAUACGAGUAUAUGUGUACGGGAAAUUUGCUAAAUGUUGUAAAAAGUAUAUUAUGCGAUUAUAAUUGUAGCACUUGAAAUGGAAUCUCUCCGAUCAUGUAGAAAUCCUCAUCCAGUAAAAGCACGCAACAAAGUUCCCUAAUACUUUACACACAAUUUGGUUUCCUCGAACCGCAAGCUAAAUUAAACAUUAACUGUUUAACUGUAUAUAUGUAAUGUAUUAACCACAUUAACCAAAUACUAACUGAAACGAAAAUAAGCCCAACAAUUACUUGGCUGCGUAAGUUGUAAAUUACCAAAUGCAAUCCUUUCUCCAGGACGAAAAGAAAGUGAAACACAGAACUUUGCAUAAUUUACAUGGAAAUCGUAAAGACACACUAACCAUUGUAUUAACUAAACUAAACCACACUAACUAAAACCCGCAUUAGAAUUACUAAAUAUUAUUAUAACGUAACAUGAAAAGAAAGAAUAUGGAAGACGAAACCGUAAGAAAUGCUUUCAAACUAAAUAAAGUUCUUUGGAAUUACAAUGCAAAAAACAAAAAAAAAAC